CACCGCGUGGCUGUGAGAAUUCAGUGCGUGCUGAGCAAAUGCAUCAGAAGCAAAAAAAAAAAAAAAAAAAAAAAAAAACGAUGCAGGGAACAGAACGCCAGUAGUAAACAGAGAAACCAGGAAAGGACAGAAGGGAUGGUCUGAAUGUGAAACACCCGUCUGACUAAUCCAAAACCCCACAGGGCACGUAUCAGCACACUGUCUAUAUUUUUCUCUGGGAAUACGUGAGUAAAGCAGAAUAUUUUAAUUUUCUUACUUGGACACAAACAGCCUAGCUUAACAGCGUGGCUCAGCGCAUGCACACGGCUGCCAUUGGUGGAGAACUAUUGUUUGUGUCAGUUUUGACCAAUCGGCGCUCAGGAGUGGCACGUGAACACCGCGUGGCAAAUGGAUUAGCUCAUGCACAGGAAGUGAAAAGAAGACGGAGAGAACAGAACGUUAGUGAACAGAGAAACCAGGAAAGGACAGAAGGGAUAGUCUGAAUGUGAAACACCCGUCUGCCUAAGCCAAAACCCCGCAGGGCAUCAUUCAUUAUCAUUGUGCUUACAGUUCUCGUGACAUUUUAACAAACAAACAACAACA